GGACCAAAUGGUUAUUCUCAAUCAACCAUUCGUUCUAAGAGCUGAACAAAUUAAGUGAAAACUCAUUAUCACCAUUCUAAUCAAGAAUAAGAUAC
ensembl:snoRNA SNORD116 Small nucleolar RNA SNORD116